rnacentral:lncRNA from 1 species
UUUUUUUUUUUUUUUUUUUGGGGGGGUUUUUUGUUUUGUUUUUUAAAUUGAAGGCUAAAGUUUUUGAAAAAACUUUGUUGGACUCUGGCUGGGACACAAAAUCAGAUAUUUGGAAUCAUUUUGAAGCUUAACUUUUUCCUAACCAGCCUUGUAUUCUAAUUGCUUGCAAAUGUGAGACUGAAUGGCCAAAAUGCCGUUUGUUUGUUUGUUUAUUGUCAGCUGCUUUUAUCAAAUUCCAGGCCAUUAUCCAGCAAACACUAUUAAAAUGUUUGAACAGUUGGGUUUCAAACAUUUUUGUUUUGUGGAGUGGUGCUUAUUAAGUGGUACAGCUCUCUAAGCAAGUGAACACAAACAUAUUUAAGUGUAUUUUGUAUGAUUAGAUGUUACCAAUUCUGAUAUUUUAUUCAAAUGUCUAAAAAAAUAAGUUGACUUAUUCCCUUUACCAAAGGGCCAGAGACAAAUGGUUUCCUUUCAAGAGAAAUGACUGUUUUGAAGAAAAACUCUGUUGGUCUUAGCUCUUUUGUAAUUAAAUCUGGAUGUACCUCAAAAGACUCUUUAAGACUGUGGUGUUAAAAGGCUUUCCUCUGGAGAAGGAGAAAAAAUAAAAUCAACUGGAACUUAAAAGCUUGAAAUUCCAUGACAAAACACAGAUGUCCAGGAUUGGAGGUUCAUAAAGUACAUGCAGUAGUUGGAGUGGAUUCCAUUUUCAGUGUAGCUGCCACCAUGGACUCCAGGCUCCCAGAUUUUCAAGAACUGGACCUGUGACCCAGAAGAGCUUGUCAAGAUAUGACAGGAACUCUGGAGGUGGACGUUUUGUAUUCAAUUUUGGAACUGUUGAUCUUGCCGUGAGAAAAGAGAGACACGACUCACCAAGCACUGCCACCAGCACUGUCACUGGGAACUUGAAGAUCCAAGUUUCUGUCCAGAACCUCAGUGCAAACUGACAACACUCCAUCCAAAGUGAACUACGGUACUUGCCAUUUUCCAAAAUGCCUUUUCAUUUCUGCACUUUUGCUAUUCAUACUCUCUACCCUGGAAAUGCACUUCUGUGAUUCUUCACCUGGCAGAUCUCUGCAAUUUCAUAAAACUAAGAUGCUCUCUAACCCUGUAACUCUCUUAAUAUUAAAAAGAACAUCUUUAGGAUAACUUUAAUCUCUUAUAUGCAGAGUCUGGUUCAUCACAUGCAUUUGGUUAUUUGUUUGUUUGUUUUCCAUAUAGCAAACACUGAAAGAGUCUUGGUUUUAUGUAUCUUUGCCCAAAAAUACCAUCAUUUCUAGUGAAGCCUUUUGAAAAGCAGGGACCCUUAAUCCUCAGUGUAUGUAUAAUUGCUACAUUAUAAUUAACAUUACUCUAGAUAUAUGAGUUGAUUAGAUUUCAUGUUUUCUUAAUCCUAGAUUU